rnacentral:rRNA from 1 species
UACGUAGGGCGCAAGCGUUGUCCGGAAUUAUUGGGCGUAAAGAGCUCGUAGGCGGCUUGUCACGUCGGGUGUGAAAGCCCGGGGCUUAACCCCGGGUCUGCAUUCGAUACGGGCUAGCUAGAGUGUGGUAGGGGAGAUCGGAAUUCCUGGUGUAGCGGUGAAAUGCGCAGAUAUCAGGAGGAACACCGGUGGCGAAGGCGGAUCUCUGGGACGGUACUGACGCUGAGACGCGAAAGCAUGGGGAGCGAACAGG